GUGGUGGCUCCUUAGUUCCCUGUGAACUCUGGCUCCUCUUCCUGUUCCAGCGUUUGGGGCUGGAACCUUUAGGGUGUGCUUCUCUGAUCCUCCAGCUCCUUUCCUUCAAUUCCUCCACGCCCUCAGCCGUUCCCACACAUGUGCAAACCCUAAUUCCUGUAUUAAGCCCUUUGUCUCUACCAUGCCUUGGACGGAGAACUUGAGGCUCAGAGACACGGAGCCGCUUGCCAAGGUCCCGGAGCUGAGUCUGUCUGACUCCAAAGCCUGUGCUUGAUGAGCUUCAUUAUAGGGAGAGAUGCAAAGACGCCGGCUCACGUCCCUGGGGGAGCAAGCGGACAUCGCAGACGGGCACGUGGAGCAGGAGACGUUGAGUUAGGUGCUUAACAAACAGUAGCCAUGAAGAAAUGAUAAUGAAGAUCAAAGGAAGUGGUUGCAAGAAGCAGGAAGAUCAAGCCAGAAAAGUACAGUCAGUUUUGAGGGAACACGACUGACACUCAAGGAGCAAUUAGAUUCCUUCCCAUGACUUCACCUUCUACUUUCCUAACACACUUGUUCUAAUAAGAAGGUUAAAAAAAAACCCCAAAACUAAUAUUACAGACAAGGAGGCGGAUGCAUAUGCAAGGAAGUUAUUAAAACCGCCUUGAUUUUAAUAAAU